UUUGGUUCUCAACCCCACACAAGGGACCUGUGCACCAAUGUUGAAGACAGAGGACAACUUGAAGGUCGUCCUCGGGAAAACUGUCUAUCUCCUUUAAGACAGAGACCCACAUUGGAGCACCAGACUGAAAUCUCAAGAUCCAAAUCAGG